CCAUGAGUAAUUGCUCUCAUUCCUGGCUUGUUCUUCAGGACAUAAACUUGCGAGUCUCCAGAACCUAGACCUUGCCCACAUUAGGUCUGUCUGCAAAACUUUGUCGCUUGCAGGGAUUGCACCAGCAUGUAGAGGAUUGUCAGAGCUUCUUCCAGUGGCAGAGAAGUAAGCAGAGGCUGAGACACACAUGGAAGCAUGAAGAGGCAUAGGGUUGCAGAAGUUGCUGGAAUUGGGGACUGUUGCAAGACUUUGCUCUAUAGAGAGAUCUUGACCUCCACCAAAGGAAUCACAAGUGAAGAGUUUGUGCUGAAAUAAGACAAUUUGAAAAUAUAUUGAUAAUUCUCUUUUAAAGCUUUUGAGAAUUAAUCCUGGAACUGGGUUGGCAUUGGAGCACUUGAGCAUUCUAGAUGACUAGAGAAGAUGACAUCAAAGGAAACAGGCAGACAUUUCCACGCUUGAUUUCUGAAGACUGGCAAGGUGCAGCAUUGCAUCUCACAAUCUGCANUGCAGAGCUUUGUCAACUGCCUAGGGUUGUGUUGACCACAUACAACAAGACAUUCUCUAAUGAUCACUCCUCUUGAAGGUAGGGAAAGUCCAAGAGCCUUUUGUGUGAGGAUGUUGACAGAUUCAUGAUUUGCUUAAUUAGACCCCUUUGUGUCACCAGUGUAGUGCCCUUGAAAGCCCUUAUAUCUCAUGCCCUCCAUUUCAUUUCUGCUUCUUUAUGGGCACAUGAAGAUGUACAUGCAAAUUAAAGCCCGCUGUUGUUUUUUUCUUUUCUCUUACUGGCCAAGCUCAGAUUCUUUAAUCACCCCCAGGCAAUCAACCUGAUUGAUGCACUUGUCAGUGAAUAAAAUAUCAAGUCUCUUCUGCUUUUGCUGUUUU
rnacentral:lncRNA from 1 species